AACCCUCCCUCUGUUCUGGCUGAUGCGUACGUAGUCUUCAAGCCUGCUGGGCCCGGGCGAGAUCCCAGCUCAGAAGUGGUCCUUAGGAGUUGGGGAGUCAGUCAGAUAAGUGCUUGCCGUACAAAGAUGAAGGCUUGUGCUGGAUCCCCGAGAACCACAGUUUAAAAAGAAAGCCGGGCAUAGUGGGACACACUGGUGUUCCCAGCACUGAAAAGAGGAAGCUGAAACCCCACGGCUUGCUGGCCAGCCCGGCCGGAUCAGGGAGCUCCAGGCUCAGACCCAUCUCAAAGAUCAAGAGACUGAAGCACCAACCAAGGGCCAUGCAUGGACUGGACCUGGGCCCCUACACAGAGCCAAUGGGCAGCUCCAUCUUCAUGUGGUGUCCCUACUAAGGGGAGCAAGAGCCAUCUGACAUAGACUCUGUGGCCUGCUUUUGAUCAUUUUCCCUUGCGGGGCUGCCUUGCCUGGCCUCCGUGGAAGAAGAUGAACUCAGUCCUGAUGAGACUUAACAUGCCAGUGGCUUAAUCUACUGCUGAGAAAACAGAUCUGGGGAGGAAGAAUGCUUGAAGGUCCCCUCUGCUGCACCCUCCCUCUUCCCACCUGCUGCUUGGCAUGGACUCCUGUCCACUCAGCCCCCAGGCUGCCAGUUUGUGCCGUGGGUUUUCCAGAAGGCUGUGGAUUUGUGGCAAUGCUGCCAACGAGAGACCACAGUCCUCCAGGAACUCACACUGCCGGCAAACAUGGGAAACACAGAUGCCCGGAUCUCAGCUAAAUGAAGAAUGUGUGGACCAUGUAAACAACCCCAAGCACCGCGUGCCAAGUGUUCAUGCUGCAGUCAGUGUUCAUUGCUGGUCACCCUCUUGUGGAAGAUGUCCUAUCUGCCAAAGUAGGACACUUGGACAUGCCAGAGGGUCCAAUGCCUCAACAUCGUGGCGGCCUCCCUUUCAUGGACCAUACCAGCGCAAGGCCAAGAGCUGCGUUGACCGUAGGGGGAAGCCUGUCCCUCCAGCCUCUGGAGUGCACAUGUAUGCUUCUGGGCAUUAUAACGUCAAUCCAUUUCCCCAGGACUUCGGGAAGAAAUAGCUGUAUUUUUCUGAGGAAACAGAAGAGAGCGGGGCUGAGGGUGUAACCAGGUGGUACUGAAAGUCCUGGAUUUCAGGCUGUGUGUCAGGCUGGUGUAGUCCCGGUGCCUCCAGGGCGCAUGGCCGAGUUCCUCCACGCUGGAUCCUGACGGAGGCUCUGUCGUCCCCCUGCAGCUGGCCAAAGUCGAGGAACUGGACAUUAAUGUGCUAAGGCAGUAAGUUACCCACAGUCUCGGCCUCUCAACCUGACAAAUGUUGACUUGCAGUGCACACAAAGUAACAAGCAAGAUGGUGGGGGAUGGGGAGGCCCUUUGCUGUAUACAGUCAGCAGGGGACUUCCACUGUCUUGAACAUUGUCCAGGACAGGUGUGUCCAAGUGUGCUUCUGUUGCUACAAUAAAUACCGUGACCAACCAGGAGGAAA